UGUAGGUGUUGGCACAGGGGGCAAAGCACCUAAACCAUUCUUACCAGGUGCAGGAGCAGGUUUUGUUCCAGCCGGAGGUGGAUAUCCCUAUGGUGGACCCUAUGGAGUUCCUUAUGGCGCUGGUACCGGAGCUGCCACUCUGCCUGGAUCGAAGCCUUUGAAGCCUCCAGUUGUUGGUGGAGCAGGAGGAGGAGCAGGAAUCCCACUGGCAGCAGGAGGUUAUCAAGGGGGAUACAGGCCAUAUCAACAUGGUUAUGGCCAGGGCUACGGCAAUCUUGGAGGCGGCGGAGUAUAUCAGCCAGCUGCUGCUCCUGUGCUUCCUGGUUAUGGAGGAGGUUACCCCCAACAGAACUACCAAGGUGGAUAUGUACCAGCCCCACUGACCCCUCAACAAGCCAAAGCAGCCAAGUACGGUCCAUUGCAGGCCUUCCUUGGUGGUGCAGGAGGAGGAGGAGGAGGAGUCUACAGAGGUGGCGUUGCAGGAUGCCAGGGCAAAUACUGCGGGAGGAGGAAGUAGAGCUCACCGGUGUGACCUCAAGAAACCAUGGUGCUACUGCAUGAUCUAGAAUGUACAUUUUAUAUGCAAGGAAAACCCCAUUAGAAAACAUGUAAAGAUGUUUUUUUAUUAAUUUCUUUUUUACUUACAUGACUUCAACGUCUUGUGUUUUUAUACAAACCCACCGACACAGAAUUUUGUACACGCUCUGAUGUGACGUAUGUUAUUGAUCGUGCCUUUAAUCAAUAAUGUGCUCAAAUGAAUCCGCUUUAACUUCCAGAACUGCACCAGCCUACUUAAAAUACAAAGAGUGUGUUCUUGUGCAUGAGUGUGUGUGUGUUUUUGUGCGUGGUUGUGCGAAAGACUGACUGAACCAUCGGCUGCCAAUGUGACCUAUGAAUGAUUUUUCGGUCGGUUUUAAUCCUGAAGCAAGGUGAACUGUCCUCGGUGUAGGUGUAGCUGUGUGGACAUGUCAGAGGGGUCGGGUUGGUCGCGGCUUAUGUAAAAACUGAUGAAAUUUGGCCAAUUUCAGUGUCGUCUCAGGCUCCCCGUCCUCUCUGCUGCUAUUUAUAGGCCUGCUGGGUAUCAAGCAGCGAGAACUGGGGCUCCGGGCAGCCCAUCUGCUCUCGGUAACUUUGCUGAUUCUAGUUGCUACGCAGUUCAGUUUUCGCAGCAUUUUUAAUGUUGCCAAACUUGUGAUGUAUGAAGAGCAGUUUCUGCUCUGAGGAACGACAUGCUGAAGACAAUCAAAGAGCAUUUGAUCCAUUACAGGAUGUUUAAAAAGCAGUGUUGCCUUUUUAGUUCCAAGUAGAUUAAAAUGUAACUCAGACACUGCUCUGGCAUGUACAUGAUGUAUGUGUGAAUGUUUAAUUAUGAGUCUGUAGUCUGCUUGAAAUGUUUAGUCUCAUCGCAGCAGUUAUUUACAUUUAUGUAACUUGUAUGAAUAAUAUGAUUAUUCAAGAAUUCUUUUGCACCAUGCUUUGACUCAUAGCUUUAUUGUUAUCAGGAAUGUGUGAACAUAAAACACAUUUACUUACUGAUUAAUACAGAAUAAGACUUUGUUUAAUGGGGGAGCCGAAGUGUUAAUGUGAGGCAUAAGCUCCCAUUCUUCAUUUACUUGAGCUGCUUUUAAAAAGGCUUAUUGACCAAAGGUCGCCAAGUGACUCCAUCUCUUUCUGUAAUUGUGUACUGUAUUUUGUACUAAUUUGAUAUUCGCUGGCUUCGGUUCCUUCACUCGGUGCUGUGUAAGAACUGUCUUUGAGCCUUGCUGGGUCAGACCUUGUCUUAUAUGCCGUGGGAUGCUCUUCAUCUUUAUUUAAAACUGUUUUUAUAAGGAGGAACAGUGUGGUUUUGCACUUUUUAGAUUUCCACGACACACAUGUGACUUAUUCCCGGAAUCCAGCAUUUAAUUUGCUUCAUUAAAUAACAUAAUAAAAUGUGUUUAAAAGAUCUUGUGUCUUCCUAUUCGUCUAUAUUUGUCUUUUCUUUAUGGUUGCAUUCCACAGCAGCAGUAGUUUG
ensembl:lncRNA